GAUGAACGCUGGCGGCGUGCCUAAUACAUGCAAGUCGAGCGAACGGACGAGAAGCUUGCUGCUCUGAUGUUAGCGGCGGACGGGUGAGUAACACGUGGAUAACCUACCUAUAAGACUGGGAUAACUUCGGGAAACCGGAGCUAAUACCGGAGAAUAUUUUGAACCGCAGGGGUCAAAAGUGAAAGACGGUCUUGCGGGCACGUAUAGAGGGAUCCGCGCUUCAUUAGCUAGUAGGGAAGUUAACGGCUUACCAAGGCAAUGAUGCAUAGCCGACCUGUGGGCGGGAUCGGCCACAGAGGAAGUGAGCGGCGGUCCAGACUCCUACGGGAGGCAGCAGUAGCGAAGCUUCGGAACUGGGCGAAAGCCUGCCGGAGCAACGGAGCGUGAGUGAUGCAGGUCUUCGGAUCGUAAAACUCUGUUAUUAGGGAAGAACAUAUGUGUAAGUAACGGUGCACAUCUGGACGGUACCUAAUCAGAAAGCCACGCCUACCUCCGG
rnacentral:rRNA from 1 species